GACGAACGCUGGCGGCGUGCUUAACACAUGCAAGUCGAACGGAAAGGCCCUGCUUUUGUGGGGUGCUCGAGUGGCGAACGGGGGAGUAACACGUGAGUAACCUGCCCUUGACUGUGGGAUAACUUCAGGAAACUGGGGCUAAUACCGGAUAGGAGCUCCUGCUGCAUGGUGGGGGUUGGAAAGUUUCGGCGGUUGGGGAUGGACUCGCGGCUUAUCAGCUUGUUGGUGGGGUAGUGGCUUACCAAGGCUUUGACGGGUAGCCGGCCUGAGAGGGUGACCGGCCACAUUGGGACUGAGAUACGGCCCAGACUCCUACGGGAGGCAGCAGUGGGGAAUAUUGCACAAUGGGCGGAAGCAUGAUGCAGCAACGCCGCGUGCGGGAUGACGGCCUUCGGGUUGUAAACCGCUUUCGCCUGUGCCGAAGCGUGAGUGACGGUAAUGGGUAAAGAAGCACCGGCUAACUACGUG
rnacentral:rRNA from 1 species